CAGAGCAAUGAACCACAAGAAACAACGCCAAUAUCGGAUUUUGCCCAGAAAGAAAGACCACAAAAAAUGUUUUAUAUGCCUCCAAAAUACAUUCCAAAAUCUUCCACAACUGGACAAACUCUGCAAUUAAACCUGGACUCUUACUAAAAGAAGGAGACACAGUUGGAGGUUUUCCUGUGAAAUUUUUAUUGAUGAUGGUGUGUGUAUGUAAGGUUUGGUAAAUAUACAAAAUUUUUAAUUGUGAUCAUGAAGUAGUUUGAUGAAACAUGUAUACUUAAUGUCUACUAUCCAUUUGUUGUUAAGCUUUUUUAGGGACAAAGUGAUAAUAGUUGAAAAUAAUACCCAAAUUCCUUAUACUUCUUUUUAUAACUAGUCUUAUCAUGAACCAUGAUAGUGAUUCAUAAUAGGGAUCACAAGGAAAUGCACAAAACCCUAACAGAAAGUUAGAGCAAAAUCCACCUUAAACACGCUUGCUAUUUGUCUCCUUACAUGUCAUGUUCUGGGUGCAUUCCACCUUGUCACGGAUCAUCAAGCUUCAGGUCUGUGGUCUCCAGCUGAGUGAUCUUACUAUAUCAACAUCCUACAGCUUCUGGCUGUACAUCGUGCUUUGGAUUAUUUUCUUCAUCUUCCCAGGAAUCACCUGGUCAGGUACCCAUUCUCAUUCCCUUUGUGGUCAUAUCUUGGAUGCUUGACCAAUAUUUGAGUCCUUGUGUGUCAUGUUCUGGGUGCAUUCAACCUUGUUGUGGCUCAUCUUUCCCAGCUGGACAAAGUUUAUCCAAUGGAGUGGUCUCUUAAUCCUCUCUCUUUCCAGUGGCUAUGCCUUUGAUGGGGUACUCCUCACCUAGAUGCAUUUGCCACAUCCCUCAAUACUAAGUUACCUCUGUUUUAGUCUCUGGUUCCUCAUCCAUUUGCACUGGCUGCUAAUGUGUUCAGCCAGGAUUGGACCAACAGAUACCUUUAUGUGUGUGUCCUCCCAUCCAUCUUAUUCUCAGGGUGAUUUCAAUCAUCCACACCACUUCAUGUCAAGUUCUUUUAAUUGCUCCUUACUGGCCGGCACAACCAUGGUUUCCAUGGCUGCUCCACCAUUACCUCUUCCUCUUGCUCUAUCCCUUCUACAUCAGCCUUGGUCACCAGCAUCUGUUCCAGCCCUUCAUACCUUCCAUCUACACACCUGGUUUUUAUCAGUCCUUGGCAAGGAAAUAUGGAUUGUUCCGGUGAGUCGCUUUGUUUUUAGCUCCUUCCAUUUGCCCUUCUAUGGAUGUUUAUCAAUGUAAGUGGAAUGUUUUCUGCCAUUUGUCUUUGGGUCGGGGGUUUUCACCUGCUCGACCCAUUGUUCCUCAUCUUACAGAUUUCCUCACUUGGCUGUUUGAUCAGGGAACUUUGGUCUCCUUGAUUGCAGGUAAUUGGGCUGCCUUAUCCCACACUUUUCAUUUUUACUGAUACUGUAAAGUUUUUACCUCUCCUACUGUCUCACUAUUAUUGCAUUCCUUCUGGACUCGUCAUCCUCCUCAACACGCAGUCCUUCCAUAUUGGGGUGUCAAUAUGAUUCUUUGCUGCCUUACUUUACCUCAGUUUGAACCUCUGUACUCUUGUUUGAUCUUUCACUUAUCCCUUAAUACUUAUUUCCUUCUCCUCUUGGCCUGUGGACAUUGUCAGUUGGAUUUAUUUGCCCUUGAUGUUUCACGUACCCUGUAUCAUUCCACAAGUGUUCUCCUUUAUCCAGAUGAUCUUUCCGUCCUAAAACUUUGGUGGCUCAUGAGAGUAAUUCCUCCUUCUCGUUGCUUUCCCUUCAUUUCAUUUCCCACCUACAUUCCCAGGUCUGAUCCAGAUAGAGUACUAUGUCCUGUACAUGCUCCUUCUUGUUCUAUUGCCUGCAUGGCUUCCUUCCAUGGUUCCUGUCCUUCCUCUUCAUUCCAUGGCAGCUAUCCUCUGUUCAUGAUUUUUCUCCUUCCACCCUUAUCAAUUAGAUUUGGUUUUUAAUUCGAUUGGCUUAUAUGUCCUUGUCUCCUUCUUCCUGUAAUUUGUUCCAGAUGUCUUCUCACCAGAUUAGGCACUUACCUUUUCCAUGGCAUUUCAUCUCCAUCAUCCAUUAGAAGAAAUUCUUUAAUUGGGCUUGUGGACCACACCACAUACAUUCAUCUUUCAUAAUCUGCACUGGAUCACCGUUUCUUCCUCAUCAGGUUAUCGUAUUCCACCUGUUACCAAUUUCAGAGUUCAGUAAGACUGUGACUGGGAAGUUAUCGUUAUCAUAGGCAUGUUUCUUUUUUUACUGUACGAAUCUCACUCAGUGGUGAGUGGUGCCUGUCUAGGUAGUCAAAUCCACACUGUUAUUCAGUUGAGAACAAGGUGGUGAUGUUCUGCUGGUGUAGUUGAGGAGAUUUCCUCCAAUCUGACUCUCCAUCUCUGAAUGGGUUUAUCCAAUAGGAUGUUGUAGCGUUGGAGUGAAAUGUCAAAAUUGCAGUUUCCCCCUUCGAUUGGGAUCCUUCAUCCUACCCUCUACAUGGAAAUUGGUUCCCUAUUGCUGGGUUUUGGAUUCAGAGCUGGACCAAUCAACAUAAGUCCUCACACAUGUAUUACGGGUAUCUUUGUUUCCUCACUCAGCUGAACUCAUGUUCACUGCUACCAUCUUGUGGGUCACAGUGGUUGAAUUUGCAGGUUACUAUGGUUCUUCCUUUUGCACUAUCUCUCAGAGAUUUUAAUUACCUAGGAUGUUACUGCACUGGGGUUUGUUCUUAUCUGAUUGGUUUUGAGUGGGCUAUUUCACACUACAGGGACAUCUCUAUUAUUCUGAUCACUUGGAUGUUGGGUUCCUGGGUUAGUAAAACAUUUUCUUACUUUGCUUUCAUGUGUCCUGUUCACAGAUCAAUGGGUAUGAUAUAACCCUCCAGUCUGCUGAACUGAAGGUGAAGAAGGUAUGAUCCUCUUUGCUACCCCCACAAGGAUGUCGGUUCCCAAUGGCUGGGUUGCAGAUGCAAUUGAUUUGCCAUGUCUGGUCCAUCAUGCCAUAGCCACUCUAUACCUUGGGGCACAUCCUUUUUUUACUCUUACCAACAUUACCAUCAUAAAAGGGAUUGUGAUUCAGAUAUUUUGGUGGUUUGGAUCCCUAUCCAACCAUUGUUCUCACCAUUUUGGAUAUGCUCCUCCCAUUUUCCACCCAUGUCUGUGUCACCUUUUUCCACACUGGGUGAAGAAUAUACUUGGUACAGAAGUGGUGUGGUUUUCCACAUAUGAUUCUCAACUACAAAGAUCUCCCCUUUUAGGGUGUUCUUUCGGAUGCUUUCAAAGAAUGCUUCUUUCUUUCUCUCGCACUGGUCCCUCCACCUAUUCAGUGUGGAAUUCUAGUUAUUUAUGUGAAUGGAGGUAAUGUACCGUAUCAGAAGUUAUAAUUUUCCUACACUGAAAAUGUGUUUACUUACCUCCUCUCAUACUUCCCACUCUUCCUCCCCACUGAAAACUGAUGCUUCCAUUUUCUGACAAAACUCAAAGUAAUAGUUCGGUAGAAUCAAAUAGAGUCACAUUCGUCAGAAAGGUGUGUCGCACUCCUAUUGGUUGCCACAUGAUGAUUUACAUGUGAAAUGCAAUUGAACCAUAUUGAUUGUGGGGUAUGUGGGAGCUCAAGGCUUGUGGCAUGGGGAAAAAUCUUUGCAUAUAGAGGGCAACACUGAACGAGAAUAGCGAAGUAUGUGAGAGGAAAUACAUUUUCAGUAUAGGAAAAUUAUAACUUUAAUAUCCGACUUGUAAUAAUUAACUCAAGUUAGAUCAAUUUCAAGUGUAUGCAUUUUAUGUAUCCAGUCAUUUUCAGCUAGUUUGAUAUUCCUUAACCUAUUUCUUUUCAUACAUUGUUUUGUUAGAUGAAGUUGUCAUUACUUCUGACUAUAAGUUGUAAAAAAUAUAGGAAAAUCGGACAAAAAUUUAUCAGUGACUUAGAGCUUCCCCUUUCCAAUUUGUGUCACCAUUACCUUUGUCAAGCUAAGUACUGAGAUAUUUACCAACAACAUUCUUAGUCAGUAUCAAUUGAUAGCUAAUACAAUAAAAAAUAAGUUCUUUAUUUGUUUGUAUUCACUGAAUACAAUAAACUUAACAAUAAUAUUCAUUAAAUAAGGAUUUCAGUCAUGAGAGAAUUUUGACAUCUCUUAAUGUACUCUUAAGCCUAGUUAAGAUUAGCUAAUGUCCAGUUGUAAAAAUCUGUAACUUUCAAAGAUACAUAAUUUAACACAAAUAAGUUUUAAAGAAUGAAAAGAACACAUAAAGAAACUAUAAAAACUCCCAAGAUCUGUGAUUUGUUCCUAAAUGUCUUAAACUGUUCAUUAGAAUCCACUGUUCAUGCAUACAAGAGUUCCACAUAGCCUAUAUCUCAAGAAAUCAAAAAUUACUAAUCAAACCAAUUUAGUUACAUUAUGCUGAUGUAGACAGAUUAUAAUUUCUUCCAUCCAUUCACAGACUGUAGCUUUUUUAUACAGCCAAGCUUUGUUAGUAGUUGUUUAGACCAAAUACUGUAACAUAUGAAAAGAUGGCAGUGAGGGGAUAUAUUAAUAGCCAAAACAGCAGUAAAAUAAUGUAUCAUGUUUCCAAUGGCUGAUAGUUUCUUAGUACUAAUAGUAGGUAAAUACACAAUAUCAUGUAAAGUAAUCUAAAACAAAGUUUAGAUCCACAGUAAUGGAAGAAUACCAAAUAUUUAUGGAUACAAGUUGCAACACUUUCACAUGUACUUUUUCAGUUGCAACGAGCAAACUUUAUAGAGUAAAUAAUCCAUAUGAUAAACAUAAUUUUUGUUUAACUUAUAAGCUUCUUAUCUGCCUCUUCUGAACAUACAUUAUUGAGUAAACAAUCUUUAUGAUAAACAUAUUUUUUUAGUUUAUAAGCUUCUUUCUGCCUCUUGUGAACAUACUUUAUUGAGUAAA
rnacentral:lncRNA from 1 species